GAUCGCAAUGACGACUUGCAAAAUUCAAGCUCAACAGACCGGAAUGCAGGCUUAUCUCUUUACACAGAUCUGUUUGCGUGUCGAUAUUCCCGCUGAACUGAGCGAUC
rfam:Helianthus annuus linkage group 14, whole genome shotgun sequence.